UUAUAAAGUUUUAAAAAUUAUAAAUUGAAUUUUACAAGAAAUUUAAACAUUAUAAAUAUAUAAAAAAUAUAUUAAUACGAGACGAUAUAUUACAGGAAAAAUCUUAAAUAUAACAAUCAAAAUUCAAUGAUGAAUUUUGGGUCGAUAUUGUAUUUUUUU
rnacentral:sRNA from 1 species